GCCUAAUUAGCUCAGUGGUUGAGCAAUCGGUGAAUCGCCGAUAAACGUAGGUUCAAAUCCUGCAUUGGGCA
rnacentral:tRNA from 1 species